rnacentral:rRNA from 1 species
CACAGNUUGUCGCUGGCCUUUCAACGGGGGCAUGUGCACGCUCUGUUUACACAUCCACUCACACCUGUUGCACCCUCUGUAGUUCUACGGUUUGGAAGGCCCUGCCUUCCUUCCGUCGCUCUACGUCUUUCACACACACCGGUAGUGAGGUUUUAUGGAACGUUUUUCUGCGUUUAACGCAAUACAAUACAACUUUCAGCAACGGAUCUCUUGGCUCUCGCAUCGAUGAAGAACGCAGCGAAAUGCGAUAAGUAAUGUGAAUUGCAGAAUUCAGUGAAUCAUCGAAUCUUUGAACGCACCUUGCGCCCCUUGGUUAUUCCUCGGGGCAUGCCUGUUUGAGUAUCUUGAACACCUCAACUCUCAUGGUCUUCCAUGACGAGCUUGGACUUUGGGGGUUUGCUGGCCUUGCGACCGGCUCCUCUCAAAUGAAUCAGCUUGCCAGUGUUUGGUGGCGUCACGGGUGUGAUAAAUAUCUACGCUUGUGGCCGUCUGCCAGAUAACCCUCAGCAAUGAAGGUUCAUUGGGGCUCACAAACGUCUCUCCUUGUGGAGACAACUUUUGAACGUUCGAUCUCAAAUCAGGUAGGACUACCCGCUGAACUUAAGCAUAUCAAUAAGCGGAGGAAAAGAAACUAACAAGGAUUCCCCUAGUAACUGCGAGUGAAGCGGGAAGAGCUCAAAUUUAAAAUCUGGCGUGCCUCUGGUCGUCCGAAUUGUAGUCUGGAGAAGCGUUUUCCGUGUUGGACCGUGUAUAAAGUCUCUUGGAACAGGGCGUCAUAGAGGGUGAGAA